UACGAAGGGGGCUAGCGUUGCUCGGAAUCACUGGGCGUAAAGGGUGCGUAGGCGGGUCUUUCCGUCAGGGGUGAAAUCCUGGAGCUCAACUCCAGAACUGCCUUUGAUACUGAAGAUCUUGAGUUCGGGAGAGGUGAGUGGAACUGCGAGUGUAGAGGUGAAAUUCGUAGAUAUUCGCAAGAACACCAGUGGCGAAGGCGGCUCACUGGCCCGAUACUGACGCUGAGGCACGAAAGCGUGGGGAGCAAACAGG
rnacentral:rRNA from 1 species